rnacentral:misc_RNA from 1 species
AAAUGCGAUAAGUAGUGUGAAUUGCAGAAUUCAGUGAAUCAUCGAAUCUUUGAACGCACAUUGCGCCCUUUGGUAUUCCUUAGGGCAUGCCUGUUCGAGCGUCAUCUAAACCUUCAAGCCCUGCUUGGUGUUGGGUGCCUGUCCCGCCUCCGCGCGCGGACUCACCUCAAAUCCAUUGGCGGCCCCCGCGUCGGCCACGAGCGCAGCAGAAACGCGAACUCGUGAGCCCGUCCGGGCGACUCCCAGAAGCUACACCCACCCAGUUUGACCUCGGAUCAGGUAGGGAUACCCGCUGAACUUAAGC